rnacentral:sRNA from 1 species
UUUGCGCUAGGGAUAGCAACGGCAUCCUUUUUAAAAACUGGAAAACGAUGUGUUUUAGCUAUGCCAACAAAUUAACACAAAACUUUGUACCUACUUGUUAAGACUAUAUUUUUAAAAAGAUAUAGUGGAUAGCCCGACCCUUG